UACGGAGGGGGCAAGCGUUGUUCGGAAUCAUUGGGCGUAAAGGGCGCGUAGGCGGCCGUGCAAGUCGGGUGUGAAAUCCCUCGGCUCAACCGAGGAACUGCACUCGAUACUGCUUGGCUAGAGUCCGGGAGGGGAUGGUGGAAUUCCCAGUGUAGCGGUGAAAUGCGUAGAUAUUGGGAAGAACACCGGUGGCGAAGGCGGCCAUCUGGACCGGCACUGACGCUGAGGCGCGAAAGCCAGGGGAGCGAAUGGG
rnacentral:rRNA from 1 species